CCGGAGUUUGCCGAUCGGGCCACGGUACCGGCGCCAACAAUGUCGGAAACUGCUGAACGAAGCUGUCGAUUUCUAGAUGUUAGAAAAACAAAUGCGACGAGCGAAACGAUCGGGCCAUAAGAAACGAGGGAAAAACUGUGAUAAGGUUUUUACUACCGAAACCUUCUAAGGAUAGAACGGUUUAACUUUUCUUGUUCUUAAACAGUGCCUCUUAAUCCACUUGAGACCUAUGAAAAUAGAGUUUAUAUUUUUGGCUAAAGGUCAAUGUAUUAUUGACAGUGGAAGACAGGAGAUAUUUUGUUUGCUA